rnacentral:rRNA from 1 species
UACGUAGGGUGCGAGCGUUAAUCGGAAUUACUGGGCGUAAAGUGUGCGCAGGCGGCGUCGCAAGUCGAGUGUGAAAGCCCCGAGCUUAACUUGGGAAUUGCGCUCGAAACUACGAUGCUGGAGUGUGGCAGAGGAAGGUGGAAUUCCACGUGUAGCGGUGAAAUGCGUAGAGAUGUGGAGGAACACCGAUGGCGAAGGCAGCCUUCUGGGCCAACACUGACACUGAUCUGCGAAAGCUAGGGGAGCAAACAGG